rnacentral:rRNA from 1 species
UACAGAGGUCCCAAGCGUUGUUCGGAUUCACUGGGCGUAAAGCGUGCGCAGGCGGUUUUGUAAGCCAGAUGUGAAAUCCCCGGGCUUAACCUGGGAAUGGCAUUUGGGACUGCAAGGCUGGAGUGCGGCAGAGGAGACUGGAAUUCCUGGUGUAGCAGUGAAAUGCGUAGAUAUCAGGAGGAACACCGAUGGCGAAGGCAGGUCUCUGGGCUGACACUGACGCUCAUGCACGAAAGCGUGGGGAGCAAACAGG